GAAUUUUGCUCAAUGGGCGCAAGCCUGAAACAGCGACGCCGCGUGAAUGACGAAGUCUUUCGGGAUGUAAAGUUCUGUCAACAGGGACAAUAAUGAUGGUACCUGUGGAGGAAGCACCGGCAAACUAUGUGCCAGCAGCCGCGGUAAUACAUAGGGUGCAAGCGUUAUCCGGAUUUACUGGGCGUAAAGCGUAUGUAGGCGGCAUUCUAAGUCAAACUUCAAAGCCCGGGGCUCAACCUCGGUUCGGGUUUGGGACUGGAAUGCUAGAGUUUGGGAGAGGAAAGCGGAACUAACAGUGUAGCGGUGAAAUGCGUAGAUAUUGUUAGGAACACCCGUGGCGAAGGCGGCUUUCUGGAUCAAUACUGACGCUGAGAUACGAAAGCGUGGGGAGCAAACAGGAUUAGAUACCCUGGUAGUCCACGCUGUAAACGAUGCACAUUAGGUAUAGGGGGUAUCGACUCCCUCUGUGCCGAAGCUAACGCGUUAAAUGUGCCGCCUGGGGAGUACGGUCGCAAGAUUAAAACUCAAAGGAAUUGGCGGGGGCCCGCACAAGCAGUGGAUCAUGUGGUUUAAUUCGACGAUACCCGAAAAACCUUACCAGAACUUGACAUCUGGGAAAUUCUGUAGAAGUACAGAAGCGCCCGCAAGGGAAUCCCAAGACAGGUGGUGCAUGGUUGUCGUCAGCUCGUGUCGUGAGAUGUUAGGUUAAGUCCUGCAACGAGCGCAACCCUCGUGUUGUGUUGCUACAUUUAGUUGAGCACUCGCAACAGACUGCCCGUGGUAAACGGGAGGAAGGUGGGGAUGAUGUCAAAUCAUCAUGCCCUUUAUGUUCUGGGCUACACACAUGAUACAAUGGCAAGCACAAAGGGAAGCCAAGCCGCAAGGCGGAGCAAAUCUCAAAAAACUUGCCCCAGUUCAGAUUGCAGGCUGCAACUCGCCUGCAUGAAGAUGGAAUUGCUAGUAA
rnacentral:rRNA from 1 species